rnacentral:rRNA from 1 species
AGCGAACGCUGGCGGCAGGCUUAACACAUGCAAGUCGAGCGGGCACUUCGGUGUCAGCGGCAGACGGGUGAGUAACACGUGGGAACGUACCCUUCGGUUCGGAAUAACGCUGGGAAACUAGCGCUAAUACCGGAUACGCCCUUUUGGGGAAAGGUUUACUGCCGAAGGAUCGGCCCGCGUCUGAUUAGCUAGUUGGUGGGGUAAUGGCCUACCAAGGCGACGAUCAGUAGCUGGUCUGAGAGGAUGAUCAGCCACACUGGGACUGAGACACGGCCCAGACUCCUACGGGAGGCAGCAGUGGGGAAUAUUGGACAAUGGGCGCAAGCCUGAUCCAGCCACGCCGCGUGAGUGAUGAAGGCCUUAGGGUUGUAAAGCUCUUUUGUCCGGGACGAUAAUGACGGUACCGGAAGAAUAAGCCCCGGCUAACUUCGUG